UUGACAUUAAGCAUAGGCUGUUUUAAAAUUUUGCUCUUUGUACAUCAUGAUAUCUUAUGCAUAUUAGGCCUAUAUGAACAGAAAAAUUACUUUAAUUAAAAGUAUUGUUGUUAAAUACUGUAGACAUUGAUCCGAUCAAAAUCCAGGUAAAAACAACUUAUAUUUAACAAAAGAAAAUGACAUGUAUGGGUAGCGCAAAUAUGACUGUUUAAGCCCCGCCCCUCACUUCCGUUCUGUGGCUGCGGUUCUGAAACUGUGGUGCUGCGGGUCUGCAACUGGAUACUAUUGAAUCGACAAAACCCGGCUGAGUCAAAAACUGUUGGAUGUCUAAACAAAGAAAAAACAAUUUUCGUUAGGUUAUUCCACGUUUUCCUGACACAUUAACAAUAUAUAUCUGUGAAAACACGAAAGACACAUGUAGAACAUUUCACCUGUGAAAAAACUCGACAAACAGAUAUAGAAGUCAUUCAGACAUGGAUGAUAGAUUUCCACUGAGAGAUACAGAUAUUCGUGACCAUGAGUGAGCUGCUGCGGUUGUGUUCUGACACCGUCAGUCAGGUGGCGUGCUUUUUACAGCAAUCCUGUAUUAUUGCCUGGCAUAUUACAGCCAAAUUACAGGUAGCUUACAGCAACACUAAAAUAUACUGUAAAAUGUUCCUGCUUAAACAAAAUUACCCAGAAUGCAAUGCAAAUUAUAGUAUUUUACUGUAAUAUAAAAUGCAGUAUUGUACUGUAGGUUUUUACAGUAAUGUGCUGCUAAAUCUACAGCGGCAUUUAACAGUGUGAUUUGUCCAGUUUAUGAGCCGUUUUUAACUAGUUCUCAGUGCCGGUCACCACCAGGGGCUCAUUUUCUCUCAAAGAUAAUUUAAGUAGCGUAUCACUACAUAAUGUGAACAUAACUGCAUUCAGCUUUAGAGGAAAUGUAAUGUUAGUUCAGUACACAUCAAGACGUUCUUAUACGUGUUUCAGUGGCGGCUGGUCAAUAGAGUCCACUCCUGCCUGUCAGCGUGUCUCAAGUUCAGUUCUGGGGUGAUCGAGAAAUCGUCCACAGGAGGCGGGUUCAUGUAUUAUUUCAGUAUAGAGACAGAGCCCACACCGGAGGGAAAACAUUGGAGGGGAACGUAAUCAGCUACAGGUUAUGCUAAACAAACAAAGAAAGAAAACAUUCAUUAUUUUUAACCAUGUCAAAGAAUUAUUUCACCUGUCGCCGAUUACAUUCCCCUCCAAUGUAGUUAAAUAGUAAUAUGACCCGUUUCGCUCUCUCUCACUGCCUGUAUCCACUUUUGUGUCCUCAAACAUUAGUUUAGUUCCAAACACUGAUAGUUCCAGCACUGAACUCCACACAUUUUCAAUGUUUCUGAAGUACGCUCGCUGGUAAGUUGAUGAAAUUACUGUAUUUUCAACAUUUGAACGCAUUAGCCGACCUCUCAUGAAUCUAUAUAAUAGUUGUAUUUUAUGUAGCCAGCUUUAGUUAAUGUUUAUUGGAGGUAGGUAAACUCUUAAUUGCUGCUAGCUUAAGUAACAAACACUUAACUAAUAUUAGCUACCAUAAUCUGAUAUUGGGCUAUAUUUACCUCAAAUUUUCUUCAAGUUCGUUGACAUACAACGUUUAUCGUCGGUUUUUAGAUUUGUUGUUAAAGUGAUUAACACUUGUUUGCGACCGUAUUAGUACACCUGAUUACAAUUAACUUUAACUAGCUUAACUAGAAUUUUUUGUUUUUUAUUUAUUUUUGCUAGCUCAACUAGAUAACAUGGCUAGCUUGUAUCUAUCAAGGUUGUUCCUUGGUUAAUUUAGUCAUUGAAGUUACACAGACCGUUUGUUAGACAGUGCAUUGUGAUGAGUGAUAGGAUAUGUAGCAUAAAUGUGGAUGAUCCCAGCAAAUAAAAAGUAUAAUUGCAAAAAGAAAGAUUAUUAAUUUAUUUUUAAAUUGAAGAGGCAUGUGAGACAUGUGAAACCAUUUGAGACUGACAUUUGACCAAAAAACUGAAGUCAUGAUUUUAAUAGUUGUUAUUUAGUAUACAGUGAAGAAUUUCAGCUGCAUAACUCAUGUUCAUGGCUCUUAAAAAUUUUGAUGAAAGAAGCACAUGUACACUGCUUUGGUGACACAUUGAACUUUAAUCUAACAGUCCCGUGUGUGUAAUGGAACGUAUACAAGUGAAACCAGAAUACAUCUUUGUAAAUAUUAAAUAUUUUUGGAUGACAUUUAAUUUUACAAUAUUUCACUUUUUUCUCUCUUUUAGGAGGUGAAAAAGAAGUCUAAACCAAGACUUAUACCUAGAUAAAAAUAACUCUCAGAUGGAUUAUCGGUGGGGAGUGGAGCAGUGGCCAGGCUGGGGGAGCUUGUCGUUCCUGUAAGCAAUGGAGUGAUGAUGAAGCUGGUUUGAAUUUGAACAGUGGAGUGCUGAAGCUGGUGGGGUGAUGGUGAGGCUGGAAGUAUCAUGGCAUGAAGGAAGCCUGCUGUCCAAGAGCCUACCCUCUCUCUCCAGCAUAUCCAUGGCAUUUGGAUCCAUAAAGGAGCCACUGGUCCUAGUUCGGAACAGCUCCUCAAUUUGCCGGACUAAAUCGAAGGCCUCUUGUGACGGCCGACAAAGUGCACCUGGCUUGAACUCUUUCAGCUUCAGUAAAACACUGUGCUUUCCUUCAGGACUGUCAUCAUUGUGCUUAAUUGCACUUUGGCAACCCUCACAAAUCUUGGAAUAUUUAAUCACUUUAUGCACGAUGUAGCCUGUAAGGUGGUAGAGAGCACUGAUCUCAGUAUUCGUGAGGUCAGGAGCAGCUCUGCGCGCCAUCAGCUCCUCCACUCUGAGGCCAGGACUGGGAAGUGACUGCUUUGUGUCCAGGAAGUCGGCCAAAAGGCUGUUGUCAUCCUCCUGAUAACUUCCUGUUUUCACAGUCGCGAGAAAACUGCCCAACUGAUAUUGAUUUCAGUGCCUGUUGAAACUCUACUGGAGUUGGGACUGGAUUCCUCUGUCUUAUGCAGCUGAAUAGGUUUUCAAGACUUGGGUAAACCUGCUGAUCAACAAAAACAUGUGUCACUGGGCCAGCAUGUCUUGCUAUAUUGAUAGAAUUGAAGAUGUUGCCAUUACAAUUCCUGUUUGCACAGGCUUCCAGCUACCCGUUCGUCCAAUCUUCAGCCCACGGAAGAGUUGGAUGGUGUCCUGAAGGAACUUGAUGGCCUUUUGGUACUCCUCGAUCUUGUGUGUGCUGAGUGCCAUUACUGGGUGGCGAGAGGACAUGAUGUCAAACCAGUGGUCCACCUGCUCCAGAAACCAUGCUGUGGUCUGGUAAGAGGGUGGUCUUUGUUCCUGCUCCACCAUGUAUUUCAGGCCUGCACUGGUUGCCUUGCUAAAGAUAUUCAUCGCAGGGCCCACCUUCAUCUUCUCAAAAUGACUGGGUUGAAGGGUUUUACUUGAUAGAUUUGGAGCAAUUUUCAAUGUCAUCCCCUCUUGAAAAUCCACCAGAUCUUUCAGUGGACCAACGGAAACUUCAUUGAAGAAGAGUUUCUCCUUCUCUACCGUCUCCGGAGGAAUUGUGAACGUCUGUCCACGGACCAGGCCACUCUUCAAGUUCUUAACAAGAUGUGGAACGUCUGGCAUAAAGUAUAGCCUCCUGUCUGGUCUUACAGGAUGUGGGACAGAUGUUUUGUUGUGAUCCACGCCAAAUGCCUUCCACAUUGCCCGAUUAGGGCUGCCCAUGUCAGUGGUGGCCAAUAGUUAAUGAUCACAGUGUGGCUGAAGCCCAAAAACCAGUCUGCAUUGCUUAGAGCAGUAAUGAUGAAGAUGAGCAGCCACCUGCCAAAAUGCCUAAACUCUUCUCUAAUUACCGGAACAAAGCCAGCAAAAAGAAAGGAGACGUAAGCUUGUCUGUCCGAGCAGAGCUAAUGUGCUACAUUCAGGCAUCUUCUAAUGAAGAUGAUGUUGAUUGUUUGGAAUUUUGGAGUAUCCAUGAUAAAGACUUUCCAAGGCUUAAACAGGUGGCAGUGAGAGUGUUGGCAGUUCCUGCUUCCAGUGCCCCAGUGGAGAGGGUGUUUAGCCAAGGUGGACUCAUUAUACUUCCUCAUCGCUAAGUGCAAAAACACUAUCAAAUUUAAUCUUUCUGAAAUGUAACCAGUCUGCGUAAAACUUUGUCUUUGGACAUGAAAAGAUCUUCUUUUGUCACAGUAGAAGAAAACAGUACUGUAUUGUAAAUAUUUUAGUGUUAUGCAUACCUGCAUAAAACAUUUUACAAUGAAUUUCUCUGAAAAUGUAAAUGUUCUGUUUCAUUGAUUCUUUUGAAUCGAAAUUCUAUGAAAAUUUAAAAUGAAAAUUAUAUGUUUACCAUAUUCUCAUCUCAUAAAUUUGAAAAUAUAUUUGCAUGUCUUAUUAGACAAUGUAGAUCUGCAUUUUAAAUUAAAUGAAGUGGAUCAGAUGUAA